rnacentral:pre_miRNA from 1 species
UGUUCUCGAAGGGAUCUCUCUUCAGUCCAAUCUGAAAUGGCCGUAGGGUUUCAUUAGCUGCCGACUCAUUCAUUCGCCUACCAAGAUCCAUGGACGAGCAAUGUCUUGGUAGCCGAGUGGAUGGUGCGGGAGCUAAAAUAAAGCUCUACGCUGUUUGUGGUUGGACUGGAGGGUGCUCCCUUGCUUGCUUGU